rnacentral:lncRNA from 1 species
AGCAACUCUCCCUGGUCGUUCAAAAGUUGCUUGAAGAUUCUACCAUCUCCAUACUAUGAAGGAGCGCUUCUUCAUUUCUUCAUUUUAUCUGAACCUUAACGUAUCCUUCCAACACAAUGUCCAUGGACAACGGUAAUGAGGUCGGCGCCUACGAGUUUGACCGGAACGCCCUGGACAACAUCGCCCGUCAGCGACAAGAUCGCCCACGCAAGAAAUACAGC